ensembl:lncRNA
UGGAACAGUUGACUUAGAGAGACAGGAGAGGAUGGGGGAACCUGGUGGAGGCCAGCUGUGCCAAGAGUGUGGUGAGCCUGAGCAGGGCCGCUUGCUGGCAUCGUAAGAGGAGCUCCCUGGUGAGUGGUCCUGGGGUGAAAAAGCUGUUGAGGGCUGGGAGAGCUUUGAAGGUGAAAAAGGAGAUCAGUGUCCUGAUCCUGAGCCUGUCCUAACUCCUGCAACUUCGGGCAGGUUGUGUCCCCUCCAGCUCCGUCAACCUUAAAAGGGGUUGGGUGUGGGGGGUUUGGAUUGGCUGCCUCUGGGGUUUCUUCUAGAUCACAUCUACUCUGCGUCAACUGCAGGCCACUGGCUGUUUGGGGAGAGCCCUAAGGAUGAAGGCACAGGGAAGGGGUACAGCUGGAACUGGGAAUGGUUGUUACUGCUCAAGCAUGAUGGUAAAGUUGCCAUCGUGUCUCUGACUUAUGAAGCGCGAUGUGGCCUGUUGCGGUCUGGACGGGGUAGGGAGAGGCUCUGUUCCCGUCAGCAAUGUGUUGUGUCUGCUUGCUGUGGGGAUGGGUCCGUCCAGCACACUGCCUAUUAUACCCAUUUUUGGGGACCUGCAAUUCGCCUCAAAUACCAGGAAUCCAUCCUCAUGUUACUGGAUAGAGCUGUCCAGGUUCCUGGUGUUUUGAAUAAAGAAUUGAACAAAACUCACAGAGCAAUAGAAGAACGGAGCGGUGCACAGAUUUUCUGAAGACAGUUCAGAGUGGGAGUGUGCUCGAGCAAGUGUCUCCGGAGCCUGCCUAAUUAGGAUUUCUGUUGAGCUAAAGAAACAGCAACACCACCUGGUGCCCUUUAGCGGCCUCCGAUUGGCUACAGCCCAUGAAGAAUUGGCCUGUGACCAAUCAGAGGCUGAAGUGGCUUGUUAUGCGAGUGAGGGUGUGGCCGAUAAACUGCAGCUGCUGCUCCUGCUUCUACGAAUUGGCUGCACCUGCUGAGUCCCGUUCCCCUAACUCCCUAUUUUCCAGCCACACUCAUGCUCUAGGAGUGCCCCUCACUUUAGGCUCAUUAUGACUAAAGAAGGGGAGCUGAGGACUUGUCAUCGCUUCACUACAGAGAAAAGGGCAUUAAAAGUAUUUAAUAAGCAGCCAGGCACAGUGGCUCAUGCCUGUAGUCCCAGCUACUCGGAAGGCUGAGGCAGGAGAAUCGCUUGAACCUGGGAGGCAGAGGUUGCAGUGAGCCAAGAUUGUGCCAUUGCACUCCUGCCUGGGCGACAAGAGGGAAACUGUCUCGAAAAAAAAAAAAGUAAGUAGUAAGCAUGUGUUGAGUACUGUGGUGUUCCAGGCACUGUUCUAAGUCCUGGGGCGCAACAGUUUGAAUGUGUCUCCUCCAAAAUUCAGGUGUUGCCAAUGGGACGUUGAGAGGCAGGGCUUUCAGGGGCGAUCAGGCCGUGAGGGUCGCUCCCUGGUGAGUGGGAUUAAGAUCCUUCUAGAAGAGCUUUGCCCAGCAUGUGGCUGGCUUGCCCUCCCAACCUCACCACGUGAGGACACAGCCUUCCUCCCCUCUGGAGGGUGCAGCCUCAUUCGAGAGCCAGCCUGCCGGGGCCUUGAUCCUGGACUUUCUAGCCUCCAGGACUGUGAGCAUUACAUUUCUGAUCUUUAUAAAUUACGCAGUCUGUGGUAUCCUGUUAGCGUAACAUGAAACAAACUCAGACUUGGGAAUACAGUGGGGGGCAAGGCGGGUGAGGACCCUGGUCUCCAGGAGCUCACGUGUUAGCAGAUGUUAAACCCACUGCUGUACGUGCUCGAGCAGGAACAUAGCUGAAAAGAGGUCGAUUUUCAGCACGGACUCCGUCAUCUCCCUGGACUCUGGCCAGCUUUUCUGCUCCUCACUCCGAGAUGAAACUGCUUUCUAUUUUGAUCAGGCUCAGAGAUUCCAGGCCCGAUGCCGCUGACCUGCUCGAUCUUCUGAGGUGGGCGGGCAGUGUCUGUAGGCUCCAUCCCUGUAUGGAAUAUCCCCGUCACCGGAGGCAAUGGUGGCUGGUCCAGCGCGAGUCAUCACUUUUCCCUGAGGAGAGGAGAUGAUCGCUCAGCUGUUCACAGCACUUUGCUCUGGCUUCAUCAUACCCUUUUCAGAAGUAUCAGAACUCCCUUCAGGAAAAUAAAAGGGUGCAGCCUCCAAAGGGGGCAACUGUUAAAAGCAGGAGGCACAGGCUGGGCAUGGUGGCUCAUGACUGUAAUCCCAGUACUUUGGGAGGCCGAGAUGCGCAGAUCACCUGAGGUCAGGAGUUCGAGACCAGCCUGGCCAACAUAGUGAAACCCUGUCUUUACUAAAAAUACACACACACAAAAUUUUUAACCAGAUGCAGUGGCAUAUGCCUGGAGUCCCAGCUACUCAGGAGGCUGAGGCCGGAGAAGCACUUGAACCUGGGAGGUAGAAGUUGCAGUGAGCCAAGAUCAUGCCACUGCACUCCAUCCUGAGCAACAGAGCAAGACUAUCUCAAAAAAAAAAAAAGGGCAGGAGAUGCUGUGUCUUUGUCCACCCAGGCUGCCGUCACAAAGUGCCAUAGACCAGGCGGCCCAUAAACAACAGAAAUGUAUUUCUCACUGUUCUGAAGGCUGGAAGUCCAAGAUCAAGGCACUGGCAGAUUCUGUGUCUGUGAUGCCCUGCUUCCUUAAUGGUAGGUGGCAUCUCACUGUGUCCUCUUCUCACUGUUAGCCCCUUUUACGAGGGCAAUAAUGCCACUUAGGAGGGCGCCACUCAGGAGGGCUCCACCCUCAUGACCACACCACCUCCCAAGGCCCCACUUCCUGAGACUAAACACUGGGAGUGAAGAUUUCAGCAGGUGAAUUUGGGGCCACAGCAUUCAGCCCGUCACAUCAGGGGAGGUGGGGCAGGGCCCUCUGGCUUGGAGGUCACUUUCCCAGCUUAUAAACAGAGGCCUUGGGGACUGGCUGGCAGUGAGCCCACCCCGGGGCACCUGUUUGGAAUCUCAGGUGAUGGGUGUAUUUCCUUCAUCUCACCGGACUGCAGCUGUCCAUCCAGUUGGGAUUUGGAUGCUGGGGGACGCUUGAGCUAAGUCAGGGUCCCCUGGACUCAUGUUUUCCUCUGACAGCAUUGAAGUGUCCCUGCUCCUGGGCAGCCCAUACCUUCCUGCCCCUACCACCAAGGCAGCUGCCCUCUGGAGCUCAAGCUGGGGACUGAGGUUGUUCCCAGGGCUGGAAGACUCUUCCUGGAGUGUGAUGGCUGGACAUGUCCCAGCCU